GACGAACGCUGGCGGCGUGCUUAACACAUGCAAGUCGAACGGAAAGGCCCUGCUUUUGUGGGGUGCUCGAGUGGCGAACGGGUGAGUAACACGUGAGUAACCUGCCCUUGACUUUGGGAUAACUUCAGGAAACUGGGGCUAAUACCGGAUAGGAGCUCCUGCUGCAUGGUGGGGGUUGGAAAGUUUCGGCGGUUGGGGAUGGACUCGCGGCUUAUCAGCUUGUUGGUGGGGUAGUGGCUUACCAAGGCUUUGACGGGUAGCCGGCCUGAGAGGGUGACCGGCCACAUUGGGACUGAGAUACGGCCCAGACUCCUACGGGAGGCAGCAGUGGGGAAUAUUGCACAAUGGGCGGAAGCCUGAUGCAGCAACGCCGCGUGCGGGAUGACGGCCUUCGGGUUGUAAACCGCUUUCGCCUGUGACGAAGCGUGAGUGACGGUAAUGGGUAAAGAAGCACCGGCUAACUACGUGCCAGCAGCCGCGGUGAUACGUAGGGUGCGAGCGUUGUCCGGAUUUAUUGGGCGUAAAGGGCUCGUAGGUGGUUGAUCGCGUCGGAAGUGUAAUCUUGGGGCUUAACCCUGAGCGUGCUUUCGAUACGGGUUGACUUGAGGAAGGUAGGGGAGAAUGGAAUUCCUGGUGGAGCGGUGGAAUGCGCAGAUAUCAGGAGGAACACCAGUGGCGAAGGCGGUUCUCUGGGCCUUUCCUGACGCUGAGGAGCGAAAGCGUGGGGAGCGAACAGGCUUAGAUACCCUGGUAGUCCACGCUGUAAACGGUGGGUACUAGGUGUGGGGUCCGUUCCACGGGUUCCGUGCCGUAGCUAACGCUUUAAGUACCCCGCCUGGGGAGUACGGCCGCAAGGCUAAAACUCAAAGGAAUUGACGGGGCCCCGCACAAGCGGCGGAGCAUGCGGAUUAAUUCGAUGCAACGCGUAGAACCUUACCUGGGUUUGACAUGGAUCGGGAGUGCUCAGAGAUGGGUGUGCCUCUUUUGGGGUCGGUUCACAGGUGGUGCAUGGCUGUCGUCAGCUCGUGUCGUGAGAUGUUGGGUUAAGUCCCGCAACGAGCGCAACCCUUGUUCACUGUUGCCAGCACGUUAUGGUGGGGACUCAGUGGAGACCGCCGGGGUCAACUCGGAGGAAGGUGGGGAUGACGUCAAGUCAUCAUGCCCCUUAUGUCCAGGGCUUCACGCAUGCUACAAUGGCUGGUACAGAGAGUGGCGAGCCUGUGAGGGUGAGCGAAUCUCGGAAAGCCGGUCUCAGUUCGGAUUGGGGUCUGCAACCCGACCUCAUGAAGUCGGAGUCGCUAGUAAUCGCAGAUCAGCAACGCUGCGGUGAAUACGUUCCCGGGGCU
rnacentral:rRNA from 1 species